rnacentral:rRNA from 1 species
AGGGUGUAACGCUGCGGGCUUGGUGUUGGGGGUCCGUUUGUAGGGCGGCCCUCGUGCCGGAGAGAAGUUGUUAAGCCUGCUGCUUGGGGAGUACGUCCGCAAGGAUGAAACUUAAAGGAAUUGGCGGGGGAGGCACCGCAACGGGAGGAGCGUGCGGUUCAAUUGGAUUCAACGCCGAAAAACUCACCAGGAGCGAUGGAUAUAUGAAGGUCAAGCUGAUGACUUUACCUGAUUUUCCGAGAGGUGGUGCAUGGCGUAGUCGUGU